rnacentral:sRNA from 1 species
UUUUUUAUUAAUUAUUAUAGUUCACCUCUCAUCUUUAUAUGAUUCUAUUUUUGCGAAAAAUAAUAUCAUCGUUAUAAAAAAAGAAUUAGAGUUUUUCCGCAUCUGCCAUAAUUUGAAUUUUUAAAAACGAAUAUAAACUAUUCAAUACAUGAAAAAUUAUUAUAACAUGUCAAAAAUAGAUUUAAGAAAACUUUCUACCGAGUAUUGGGUCAUAAUUUGAAUAUUUAUAUUCAAUUUCAUAUAUAUUAUUUUGAAAAUUUAUAAUCUUAUAUACUACAAUAAUUAAUAACAUAUUAGAUUUUUUAUGUGUAUGAUGUGAUUCAAUUUUUAAUACAAGCUGGAAAAUCUUAGAAUUGACGGGUUUAGAUCGAUAUUAAUACAAGAUGGUAUACUACAGAUAAAACUCUAAAAUUAACAAUCAAAAUACAAGUGUAUAAUUUUAAAUACUAAACAAUAUAAAUAAUAUCAACAAAACAUAUACAACUCGCAGUUUACUAUACAUUUAAAAUCAAAUCAAAUAAUAUCAUAUAUUUAUAAUCAUCUUUACAAUAAAAGUUUUUAGUUUAACUAAAAUAUAAGCCUACCUGCGGUAUACUACAGGUUAAAAUUAUAAAUAAGCAGAUUACCAUCACGAUGUCUGUACCUUCUCACAUACACACCUAUCAAAAAUUUAAAACUUUUCAAAACCUCUUGGUAUAUUCAAAUUAGGAUUCUUCAUUCAUGGAAUCAUUAUUCCAAGGGUUUUGGGAUGUCUUAUGAAAUGAUUUUGGCAGAAGAAGAUGUAAAAUUUUUCGAAUAAAAAGUAGUCAGCAAAAACAUAUGUCUUUUUGGGGAGUUUUUAGAUAAUUAAAUCAGAGAAUAGAGCUGGACAUAUGAGUAACCCAUUCGAGUUCGUAUAGAACCCGUUCGGGUUUGGGAUUAAUGGGUAUAUGAUUAACUACCCAAUAGAAUAAUUCUAAAUAUUUGGUUCUGGUUCGGGUCGGGUCCAUUUGGGUUUGGGUCAGUUUGGAUAAAAAGUUUCAGGCCCUAAAAAUACCCAAAAAAUAGAAACGGGUAUUUUGUAUGUAUAUAGCGGGUCUCCAAACAAAAAAAACUUUUAAAUUUGUUAAGUUUUAAUAAAUUUAAUUAUAUUUGAAUAUAUUUUACUAAAUUUUGACAAACAUAACAAAUAAUUUUUGAAUAGUUUAGUUGUUUAAGAUAUUUAGGUCCAAAAUUAAUUGACAUAUUUAGAUUUAUAUAAUCUUAGAUAAUUAGAUUAUAUUACGAUUAAAUAUAAUUAAUAUUUUGGAUAUUAAAUUAAUGUUUGGGUUUUAGAAUACCCUUUUUGGGUAACAGGUAAUUUUUGAACCAAUCGGAUAUCCACGGGUUUACUAAAACUCUACCCAAUAAUGAAAUUUUCUAAAAUUCUAACCCGUCCUAACCCAGUUUUUUGGUUCGGAUAUUGGAUUGGUUAUCGGGUCCGUUUUUUCGUGAGUCCUAUCAAAGAUAAUCUAAUAUAGGGCCAAUUAGGUUCAUAAAUAUAACCAAAAUACUAUACAAAAACUAAUUCUAAGUUAGGCCAAAAAUUAGAUCCUCUAAUACAAAGGAAACAUGUUUCUUACCAAAACAACUUGUAUACAAAUUUUACACAUUUACUUAAAACUAUAUAUGUUGUAUUUAUUAUAAAAAUAACAUUUUUAAACAAAGUCAAUCCAAUACAGCAUUAUAUCCAAAUAGUAAAAACAUUGAAAAAUAUUAUGGCAUCACUUUUAUCCUAUACUAUUUCUUAUGUAAUUCAAAUAAAGUAUACAAUUUAAUUUAUACAAAUAUUAAUGCCCGUGCUGUAUAACACGCGUUAUGAUCUAGUUUAAUGAUAUAAAGUGAGACAUACUGUGUAAUAAUGAUUUAGAUACAUUUGAAAAUAUUCGA